CUUUGAACCUCAAUCAAUUGCUCCAACAUUGGAGUUCCACUCUUAUACUUUAAAUUUAGUAAUUUUCUAAUAAGAAAUGCCUUAUUUUCAGUGGUUUUUCUAGCUCACAAAGUUUUUUCCGCAAACACGAGGGCCUGGUUGUUUCGCCGAAACUAGAGUUUGGGUUGAAAUAGACUUUGAAUUGAAGGUCACAUGAAAACUACUUCUUCACCGUUUUGUUUCCAUAAUUAUGAAAGUGAAGUUUCUUCAGCUCUGUUGCUUAUAUAGUAGAAAGUGAAUGAUAUAAACUGUAAUUUAUAUAUAUAUAAUAAAUAACUUAAUAAAUAAUAAUUUAUAAUAUAAUAAAUAAAAUAAUAUAAUUAUAUUCCUAUAUAAUUAAAAAAAUUAAUCUAAAACAACUAAAUUAUUUUUUUAGACAUAAAUUAUAAUAGGGGCAAUUGUUUAUACACCCCUGAAAAGUUUCCGACUUUCUGAUUUACCCUUUUUAGAAUGCUAAUAUUAAAAAUACCCUUUUUACGUUCCUACCUAUUUCAAAUAUACCCUUAGAGUUAAAAUCUAUUAAUGAAUUCUGCUAUCUAUAUAAAAUUACUAUUUUGUCCUUUCAAAUAUAUCCUUCCACCAUCACCGAUUUUUCUUAUUUGCCCUUAAGUCAGGGGUACAAAAAAUAUUUUGUCUUUUGAUCUUUUCAAAUAUACCCCUCUACCAUCACCAAUAUUUCUUAUUUGCCUUAAGUUAAUGGCAAAAAUUCGUAUUUUAAUUUUUUUUAACUGUGGUAGAUAUUUAACUUACAUUUAACCCAAGUUAACUGAACAAGGGAUAAUUGUAGGGGUAUUUUGCAAUAAUGGUGGAACAUAUGAGGGGUAUUUUAGAAAGAAAAAAAGAGUAGGGGUAAAUCGAAUAUUUUCAAACGUGUGAGGGGUAUAUAGGCAAUUAUCCCAUUAUAAUAAUAUAAAACAAAAUUCUAAAGUAAAAAAAUAUAUAUAAUACUUAACUAAUUAAUUUUCAUCAUAUUUUAAAUGUACAAACUAAAUGAAGUAAAUAGUAAAACUUAACUAAUCAAUUUUUUUCCUAUUUUA
rnacentral:lncRNA from 1 species